GUUCAAAUCUCCUACUACUAUCCAAGAGCAGUUAAAGGUCCCAGGUUAUACAGAUAAUCCCACCGACUUCUAACCUCUUCUGGUUCCAAGGCACCAUACAUAAAAACAAUGAGAGUUUUGUCACUUUUAGCAUCUAUACUAGCAUAACAAAUUAUGAAAUUCAUAUUAGCAUCAACAAUAUCAAGUUUUAUACCAUCCUCUCAAAGCAAGAAUAACCCCACAGAAACCCCAACAGGACAAAAUAGUAAUUCAUAAAACCUAAGUUAUGAACCCAAGCAUUUUUUAUCCUGAUUUUUAGUCUCAGACAAAAUGCCAUAUCAGGAUCAUUUGACUUAAUGAGAUCACUUAGGUGGUGUCUAGAUAUUUGUUCGCAAACCCUUGAACAUUCCAAGAUUAGCAGAUGCUCCAAGCUGAUCCACCGCAAUCCACCCUCCAGAUUGAACCUCCGUGUUAUUAAUUGCUUGUAUUGCCCUCCCAGCAUCCAUGUGACAAAUCGAAGUUUUGCUUUGAUCACAUUUAGAGUCAGACGUAUGCGAUCUAAACCUGGGGUGAGAUUUUUUUGGAAGAUCAGUGAAGUUUUCUUUGAUAUGUGAUCUAAUCCUUGCCUUUUGUGAUUUGAUUUGGGUUUGAUUGGAUGUAUGCUUGCUUGCUUGCUUGUUUGAUUUUGAUUUAGGUUUAUUUAGUAUUUUACUUUUUCUUGAUAUAUCGAUUUUCAAUAAAAUUAAAUUUGAAAUA